CUUAUCAAGAGUGGCUGAGGGACUGGCCCGAUGAAGCCCGGCAACCGGCAGGCGACUGCAAGGUGCCAAAUCCAGCAGCGGGCGCUGCGCACCGCUGGCAGAUAAG
rnacentral:ncRNA from 1 species